GGGCAGUAGCUCAGGAGCAAAGUAUUUGCCUUGCAUGCAGAGGGUCCCGGGUUCGAUCCCUGGCAUCCCCA